GAUGAAGAACGCAGCGAAAUGCGAUACUUGGUGUGAAUUGCAGAAUCCCGUGAACCAUCGAGUCUUUGAACGCAAGUUGCGCCCGAAGCCAUUAGGCCGAGGGCACGCCUGCCUGGGCGUCACACGUCGUUGCCCCCCCAUCUACUCCUUCGGGAUUGCGGGGGGCGGAUGAUGGCCUCCCGUGCGCCUCGUCGCGCGGUUGGCAUAAAUGCCAAGUCCUCGGCGACGCACGCCACGACAAUCGGUGGUUGCGAAACCUCGGUUGCCCGUCGUGUGCGGUCGUCGCGCAUCGAGGGCUCGAAAAAAUUGCCGGGCUCCGGCUCGGCUUUCAACGCGACCCCAGGUCAGGCGGGGUUACCCGCUGAAUUUAAGCAUAUCAAUAAGGGAGGA
rnacentral:misc_RNA from 1 species